rnacentral:misc_RNA from 1 species
GAUGAAGAACGUAGCGAAAUGCGAUAAGUAAUGUGAAUUGCAGAAUUCAGUGAAUCAUCGAAUCUUUGAACGCACAUUGCGCCCGCCGGUAUUCCGGCGGGCAUGCCUGUCCGAGCGUCAUUUCACCACUCAAGCCCGGCUUGGUGUUGGGGCGCCCGGCCGCCUGGCGGUCGGGGCCCCCAAGUACAUCGGUGGUCCUGCUGGGGCUCCGAGCGCAGUAACUCGCGGUAAAACGCGCCCUCGCUCGGCGGCCUCUUCGGGCUUCCAGCCGCUAAACCCCCAGUGACGUUUUUCGAGUUGACCUCGGAUCAGGUAGGAAUACCCGCUGAACUUAAGCAUAUCAUAAGCGGAGGA